GACGAACGCUGGCGGCGUGCCUAAUACAUGCAAGUAGAACGCAGUUGCGAACGGGUGAGUAACGCGUAGGUAACCUGCCUCAUAGCGGGGGAUAACUAUUGGAAACGAUAGCUAAUACCGCAUACUGUGAGAUGGACCUGCGUUUUAUUAGCUAGUUGGUGAGGUAAAGGCUCACCAAGGCGACGAUACAUAGCCGACCUGAGAGGGUGAUCUGCCACACUGUGACUGAGGAACGGGCCAGACUCCUACGGGAGGCAGCAGUAGGGGAACGUCGGGAAAGGACGGAAGUCUGAACGAGCAAAGACGCGUAAGUGAAGAAAGUUUUCGGGUCGUAAGGCGCUGUUGUGAGUGAAGCGGUAACUAGCGAGAAAGGGACGGCGAACUACGUGCCAGCAGCCGCGGUAAUUC
rnacentral:rRNA from 1 species